AAGAACCAACAAAAAAGAAAAUUAGAAUAGAACAUGGCAACUCACCCAGCAGUUCAGAAAUCUGGUGCUAACCUGCACUUUCUUCAGUUCAAUAACCUGGCUUGUGAACCAGCUUCAGGAAAGGUAAGCACAUUAAAAACACACAUUAGAUGAUAGAACUACUCAAGCCAAGUCAAGCCACAGAUAUUCUCAGCAUGGGGGACGAAACAGGAGUGGAAGGACUGUGUAUGUGUGUGUGGUUAAAUAUAUGAAUACAUUAAAUAUAUGAAUACAUUCAAGGUAUAUUCUGGUUUAUAUUCUCCAAACAUAUUUUACACAGAAAUAAAUAUACUGAGAAAUAUUCACAAAUAAUUUCCCCAGUGCUAUGUAUACACCUGUGUGUUUUUUUUUUUUUUUUUAAACAAAUAAGUUUAAUUGAUUUCCCUGUAGAGGGACAAAAAAGUAUAAUCAAGACACAAACUAGUAACUUAAAGUACAGUAUGUAUAUUAUCAUGCUAGGGGAAUAUUCUCAAAGAUGUUUAUUCCAUCUGUAUUUACUCCUAUUUUACAAAAAGAUAAAAAUCCAUGUUUAACUCCUAAACCUUUUUACAAUGUUCUAUUGGGUCAUAUUAACUAAAACUUUUCUGAAGUGUAAGUAUUCUCAUACGUUAAACAGUGCUUUGAAAAGUGAGAAUACACUUCUAUCCCUGUUAUCAAACUACCCAUUGAAGUAAAUCGUUCAUGAAUCACGCAGUACAUAAAUAUUAGAAGCCGUGUUCAUUUAAAAAAAAAAAAAAAAGCUGUGUUGUCUUUCAUUAAUGUGGUAACUUCUUUUGAAAACACUGCAGGCAUCUCUAAAUAUGUAAUGUUUUGUGAACAUCCCUAGAAAAUGUAUCUAUUUAAAAACUACUCUUUUGUAGAUGGUUGGAUUGCCUGUAUAAAGGUUUAUGGCAUAAGAGAAAGAGACUGGGCUGCUGUCUCUCCAGAUGAGAAAGUGGACCUGGCAAGCCUAGUAAAUGGAGGCAUCUGUGUUGGCUUCAGUGAAUGCUCACUUUGGUCACACACGAAAUUUCAUUCUCCUUGGUUUUACUUUUUCAAAAAUUAUGCAGUGUGCUCAUUUCCAUGUAUGUAGUUUGUAAAUAAUUCAAGUGUUAAAGUCCAAUAAUAAGGUAAAAUAUAACAACACACUCACUUAUUUUACCUCAGAAUGUAUAAUUGAAUGUUUAGAGUUGAGGGUGAUAUUUUACAAUAAUGUAUCUAAAAGCAUUCCAAUUUCCCAUAACUUUAUUAAUAUCCUUUUUUUUUUUGCGCUAGAGCCUUGUUGUAAAUACUGUUACGUAUAAGUAAGGAGGUUGCUCUACCCUGUUUAAAUAAAUAAAAAAAAAUAUAUAAAAAUACAAUAAACUACUAUGUCUGACUAAAUUCUAAGGGUCAAGUUUAUAUUUUUGGUUCAAUACAUUUUUAAAAUGUCUUUUAAUGCAAUGUCUGAUUCUUCGCAGGAUGAGGAAGGGCCACCAGUAUUAAUGGUAAUACACGUUUUGUAGGGUCCUUAUAGUCUAACCGUCAUUGUAAUAUUCUUGUUAGAAUUGUUUACUUUCUUUUCAGCUUGAUGGUCUGUUACAAGUGCCUGGAAGUGAAUGAUCGGUGUUUAGAUUGGGCCACCCUGGAGUGACAACACACAUAGAGAUUGAUAAUAACCACUUCAAAGAUAAAAACUCUACAAAGCAAAAACAAAACAAAAAAACCCAUAUUAUACUACUAAAAAAUUUUAAUAUUAACCUAGCAGUAACAGAGCAAGUGCUUUAGUAUAACAAGGUCCAACUGCUGUUACUUGUCUAUUGCAAGGUAACUUCCCAGACUCUUGGACACUUGAAGCCUGUGUGAUGACACCAGAAGAAGAGAAAGAAAAGAUAAGCAUGAGGUGGAAGACCAAUCAGUGAUUUGAAUGGAAAAUUCUACUUCCAAAAACAAAGCUCAAAGCACAUCACCUGCAUUUCUUCAGUGGCAGCCCAACAGAGCUGAACUGGCUGAAGCUGUCACUCACGUGCAGCGCACUAUAGCUCCAGAUGGGGGCAUAAGUAGGGUGUGGCUCUGGGCUUACCUGAGUUCUCUGCCGAAAAAAAAAAAAAACUUUUACUGUCAACAAAAAUAAAAGGAGAGAGACCGAGAUAUAUGUGUUUGUUUAAUGUAUUUUAUGACAAGAUCUGUGAAAGAGUGAUGGAGCACAACCUCUUCCCACCAGCAAGACGGACGAGUAUGUGUCCAAACCAUCCUUUCACUAGCCGUUAGCAUUAGAUAAUAAGACAUAAGGAUUUGCUGGUAGAGGAUGUUUGGAGGUUCAAGCUCCCGAAACAAAGGGAAAACAUCCACUGUUCCCAAUCCAGACAGCCUUGGGAGCAUACGUGGAAGAGCUUUAUUAUCCUACAUCUUAGCCAGUCUUGUUACCUGCACACAGCAACAAAGAACCACAGAGAAAGAAGCCCGACUUGAGUCACUUCCAAUAGGACCUUGGUUUUACAUCUCAUCUGAAGGACAGAGCACAAGGAGGCUACGUGACUAGCUCAGAAUCAUACACAGUGAGUCAGUGACUGAGCUGGGAUUGAACCUGGAACCUGCUGGUAACAAGCACCUUUAUUUUAAGCACUGAAUCACCAAGGCUAGAUAACUAACGUUAAAAUAUGUUGAUCGAGGUAUCAGAUAGAUUCCCUCCUUAUGUUUGCAGUGUAUAUAAAGCUGUUAAACCACAGUUUCACCACAUUGGAUACAUUCUACGCAAAGUAAUUAGCAAAUUGAAUCCUGUCCAAAUGUAAAAUUAGCUAAUAUUAGCCCUGACUAGAUCUGUACAGCUUUUGCAAUGGACCAUUAUAUUAUGUUGAUUAGAGUAAUUCAUUUAGGGUUAUGUUGUGUGAUUUUGCAUAGAAAAUGUAAAUGAUAUAGCUAGUAAGUCAUGUACAGUAUGAAAUCUAGACUUAUUAUCCAGACUUUUUUUUUUAUUUUUAGACGGGGCAAAUAUACAUUUACUUUAAAUAUUUAAACUUGUUGGCUAUCCAGAAUAAUCCCCUUGAGUGUCGUAUACAAUGGUGUCCAAUUACAUCAAACAGAUUAUAUUCAUGUAGGCUGCAGUAACAUGUUGCUUAACUGUGUUUAGAAGUAUAGAAUUUAAAGAGCAAAAAGUGAACAUUUACUGGUUGGACUGGCUUUCUUUCUUACUUUCAUUGCAGAUAUCGCUAGUGAUUCACAGCAGAAUAAUUGUCUCUGCAAGAUGGAGACAAGUUCUCCAUGAAUCUUGCACUAUCAUUGUUUUUACAAAUGGGUUCCUCCAGUGCGGGUACUUAUACCACAGAACACUUUAAGAAAGAUACAUCCUGAAUUACUACCUCAAGAAAACAAAAGAUACAGUGUGUUCUUCUUUGAUGUAUAAAUCAAAGGAGGAAGGUGUAUUUAAAGCUCAGGCCAGAAGGGAGAUUCAUGGAGCAUGAUGAUACUGAUAUGAAGGUGGACUUGCCCAUUGAUGAGGUAUCCUUACAAGAAGGACAGGGGAAGAUAUUUGCUGAUCAGCAACACUGGACACUGUAACAAACUCAACUCUAGAGGUCAAUUAAAAUAAUUUUAAUUGCCUGAUCACAAUUAUAUUCCCACCCGCAAUAAGCCAUAUAUUAAAAAGACAAAACCAAAAAGCAAGAAGGUUUCUGAAGCAGAAAAUCACAUUACUCCAGAAGAGGGUCACGUUUCUCGGUGUGUCAGGUAUCCCAUAAAAACAAAUAAUUCAAAAGUGCACAGCCCCUGUCUACUAAACAAUAUUAUUACAGUAAUCAUUCUCAACAUGCCAUUGCCAUCUAUGUCAUAAAAUUGAUUGAUUUUGCAAAUCAAUGGCUGAGAUCAGAUUCAGCAGAAGCAGCAGAUAUAUAAAUUAAAAAAAAUAAAAAUAAUCCAGAGCACAACACUUGUCAACAAGUUCACAACACUCGUCACAUAGAACUAGAGAUCUCAUUGAGUCUAACUGUGGACAACCCUCUCACUCCUUUGUAUAGAAGCAGUAAUCAUAUUUCAUAGCAAUUUAUUUCCGUUUCUGUGAUAUGAAUCAUUCACUCAGAACUCAAUUAUUCUUUAAAAAAAUAUCUUCACUGUUUUCUUCAUACACAAAAUAGGAUCACCAUGAAUAAUAACCAAAUGGUUGACAGGCAAUGUAGCAAUAUUUUAUUUAUUUUUUUGCUGAUGUUUCUGAUCGGCUUGCUAAUAAUAUGAAACAUUGUUUUUCUGGUUUAUUGCAUCGGAAGGUUGUAAAACAAAUUCUUUGUAAAUAGAAAAUAGAAAUGGACUGCAGUAUUAUACACUGGGGUAUAAAAACAUGUAUAUGGAUUAACUCUUCCCUGUCUUGUACCUUGUUUUCAUGGACAGCCAGCUCGAGUUGACUCGAGCGCACUUGAAUUGGCAUGAAUCCUACCAGAACUCGAGUUGUUUCCAUGCUUUUCCGAGUUACCCGAGUUAUCACGUGAUUUAGGCAGGAAAUACAACAGAUUUCCCCCAGAAAUACUUGCAAGGUCAAGAUGUGCAUUUGCUGCAGACGUUAUUACACUCAACUUGUCAACGAUUUAAAAGUUAAAUCCAUCUAGAUAUUCUUUCACAUUUUUCACGCAGUACCUAUACCUCUGGCAGACUUGCUGGACAAGGGAAAAAAAUGUGUCAGAUGUCAAAGUAGAUAUGAGAAUGGCAGUGAUAAAGCACAUUUGCUUGAAAACAUUACAAUUAUUUCCAUCAAAGGAUUAACAGAAAUCUGGAAUUACUCUGAUGCGGUCAGAAAUCCAGAGGCAUUGUAAACUGCGCCUGCUACAGGACUGUUCUUUUUUAUGUUAAGCAUUUUUGUCUUCCUUUUCUUUUUACAAGAGUUUGAUUGAGUAACAGCCACAAUUGUUUAUAAGCCAGACUGUAACAAAAUGCUUGAUUGUUAUUGUCGAAACGACAACUAUUACUGAAAACAGUACCCACUGUGCAGGUCUCUCAAAGUCCCGAAAUGUUAAAAUAAACGAGUUCUCGAGUAAUUUAGAAGCGUGAAACAUCAGGACCGUACCAGGGUUAUGUGGUUAAUGGAAACUAGGCAUCAGUGUAUUUAAAUUUGAAGCCAUUUCACAUUUCAUGGCGAUUGUCCUAUUUUCUUGUAAAUUGCAAACAAUUUUUCUGAAGCAGUCACUCAUAAGAUGCUGUCACAAUUUUCUGCUUUCUGUUUUAAUAGAUUUUAAACAGACUUUCUGAACUUUCAGCUGAAUGGACAAAAACAGAGGGAAAGCUACAGUAGCUAACUCUGAGCCCCAAUGAAUACAAUGAAACAGCGUAUUAAACAAAAAUGUUCACAUCUUGACAGUAUGGUUUCAUAUUGGCAAAUUCUUUUUCCAGAAAUGUAUUAUAUAAUGAUGUAUUCAUUUUAAUAUUGCAUACACUGGCUGACACUUCGUCUGGCAAGUUUGCCUAAUUGCAGGGUUGAAUUAUUUAGUAACAGAAAUCCUGAGUGAGUUUCAGUGUAUAAUUAAGUCUUUUUUUUGUAAUUUUCUGAUAAAUUAUUUCAGGGUUUCUACCUAUACAGCUGGCAAACUAUGAAAUAUAAUUGCACUUGUGAGAAAAUUACUGUCCCAUGAGAUGAAUUUGUUUGCUGAUUAAACUGGGUAGACUAAAUUAAUAACACAAUGGUAUCCAUAUGGACUGCAAUACUCUAAGCUCUAUGCAGGGCUUUAUGUGUCUAUCUUCAUAACAAAAAUAUGCACCUUUUCAAUACAUUCAACAAAAUCAGCCAAAAGAAUCCAGACAACAACUGAAAUGAGUUGGACAAAAUUGGAAACACCUGCAAUAUGUAACACACACUUUAAUGUAAAUGGAAAGCCAUUAUCAUGAGAGAUACAGCUUCUCUUUGUGGGAAAACCAAGACACACCAGCAUUCUGUAAUGCAGCUCAGAGCUCCAACCACUAAACUGUCACUCACUAGUAAGCAAGAGAACCCCUUAUCCCACCCCUGUAAAUACAUUUAAAAAAAAAAAAAAAAAAAACAGGUCACAUUUAUAAAAUGUAGUUUAUGUAAUAAUCCAGAAAGGAAAUGUUUUAGAUAUGUCUAAAGUGAAUGCAAACUAUCCCCAUGUCUUAUAAACCUAUUAACAUGCAUUAAAGAUAAAAUCUACCCAGUGUACCCAUUAAAACAAUGAAUGACCAUAGCAAAUGCAACCUGAUGAGAGGGCAGAAAGGUUAGGCACACACUUUGGUGUAAUCAUUCUGCUUGUGUGCGAUCUUUUUAAAUGUAACCCAUACUAUUUAAAAAUGUCUACUUAACUCAAUGCUAAAAAAGAAAGUAAAAACAUAAAAGCCAUCUCAUCGUCAGAGCUUCGUAAAAUGUCAUGCUAUACAUUUUGAAACCCAAUGCAGCUCAUGACAAUCCAUGCGUAUACUACAUUAGCUCAAACAUGUCGUUUGGAAAAUGGAAAUGAGGAUGGGUGUGCUUGUCAUUCUGUUAAAUUAUGUAAAUUAACAACUACCUUUUUCUGCUCAAUAGCUUCACAGAUCAAAUGUGAGAACUAUUACCUCACCACAUAUGUUUGCCCGAGGAACUAUUAAUGUACAAAAUAUUCAAAUGGAUCUUACACUUAAUGUUGUUCUAUUUUUCUAUUAAAAUGAAUGUGUUCUACAUUCUGAAAGCUUCUGUGGCAGGGCAGAAGCCCGUCGUGUAAACAGAGAAUAAAUGUGUAACUAAAGAUUGGGCAUGUUUAAUGUAAGUUUGGCAGGGAUGGGGUUAGUUUCAUCCCUGCUAGAAUCCACUGGUGGAAUAUGACCAUUGCUAAAAACUUUUUGGUGCAGUUUGGAAGGAGUGGAAUGACAACGGCAGCACUGGUCAGCCCAGACAAGCACAAGCAUUAUUUUCAGCUUUAUUCAUUGUUUUUUUUUUUUUUUUUUGCUGUUGCGCGCGUUUAUUAACUAACACAAAAUAAAUAGGAAAAAAUAAAAACAGCACUUGGGCCAAAAUAAAAGCUUCAAACAAAACAAUUCAUAUCAUUCACAAUAAUACAUUCUACUCCUUCCAAACUUCCUGUAUCCUUAGCGUCCUGGAUAAUGCACCUGUUUAUUUGCUACAGAAGGAAAACAGUUGUUUAGAAACUUAGAGCAUAUCUAUAAUCAAUUCAUGUUUAAUAAUCCAUUAAUGAUAUAUGAAUUUACAUAUUAGUAAAGACCCAUAUGUAGUACUAUGUCUCCAUAACCCAUGAAGGAAAAUCUAGUUGCUCUAUUGCCUUUUCUUCAAUAGGGUUUUGUACAUGUAGAAAAUGUUGUGUUACCAUAAUGUGAAAUCCCCUUUCCUACCCCACACCCCGCUGCCCUUACUGUUGUCCAAAUGAACCUAUAAUGUUUUAAUUUUCUUUUUUUAAACUAUAUUCGAUAUGUCUCUGAUUGAAGUGACAGCUGCUCUGGCGCUGUUCAGCUAAUGAAGAGGAUGCCACUUCUUUCACAUAGCUGUGCAGCAGCAGAUAGUGGGUGCUUUAAAGACGUGUUUGAAUAGAGAAUCUCAGUCUGCUCUCAGAUGGAAAGCAGCUCAUUAUAAUUGACUGUGUUUCAUGACCUGCAUUUAGCGUGAGCAACAAAAUCCUCCAACAGUUGUGAUUAGCUUGUGGCCUCACAAUAAGAUUCCAGGAACAAGUUCAGCCCCUGUUAACAUGCUGCAUGGUUUUUAAAACAACCUUCUUCAUGAAAGCAGUCAGCACAUCCCUUAUAAAAGCACUAGGUAAAUCUCAAAGCACAGUAAAUAAAUAGUUGGGGGGUUGACGCUUGGAAUGGGAGAUGAGAGGAGGAGGGGCGAGAUCCAGAAUUCUAGGUGAAAAGGAAACUCUGCUUAUGUGUGAAUUAUUUACGUUUUUCUUUUGUUUUCUCGAUCUAUGUGGAAGUACAGACUUUCAGCGGCACAAAGAAGCAAGUCCUGGAUUUUCUGUUUUGUUUUGAUUUCGCCCUCAAUAAUUCCCUCCCUCACAGUUUUUGUUUUGUUUGUAAAUUAAAAUAAACCUUCUGUUAUUUUCAACUGCAA